ACUCAAAGGAAUAGACGGGGGCCCGCACAAGCGGUGGAACAUGUGGUUUAAUUCGACGCAACGCGAAGAACCUUACCUGGGCUUGAACUACUGGUAGUAAGCCGCUAGAAACAGUGGCUGAUCCGCAAGGAAGCCAGCAGAGGUGCUGCAUGGUUGUCGUCAGCUCGUGUCGUGAGAUGUUGGGUUAAGUCCCGCAACGAGCGCAACCCCUAUCCAAUGUUGCUAAUCCCGUAAGGGAUGCACUCUUUGGAAACUGCCUUCGAUAAGAAGGAGGAAGGUGGGGACGACGUCAAAUCCUCAUGGCCCUUAUGUCCAGGGCAACACACGUGUUACAAUGGCCGGUACAGAGGGAAGCAAUACCGUAAGGUGGAGCCAAACCUUAAAGCCGGCCCCAGUUCAGAUUGUGGGCUGCAACUCGCCCACAUGAAGGCGGAAUCGCUAGUAAUCGCAGAUCAGCAGGCUGCGGUGAAUACGUUCCCGGGCCUUGUACACACCGCCCGU
rnacentral:rRNA from 1 species